AAGCAGGGGACCAUUAUCGGGAGCGAGUGCACGGAAAAGAAGAGACCAGCGGAGAUCAGAACAUUGGAAGACAGGCCUGGCUGGAAGUAGUCAAAUUCUGGACAGCAUGGAUUGUUCUGCACACCGACAACUGCAUGGAGUGACCCACCCUUAACACCACAUGAAUGUGCUCAGUGGGGAUUCCUGCAGGGACCAACUAUCGGGAAAAGGGCAGAUAGCUGGCCAAUAAUAACAUUGCAAGCUAGUCUCCUGUGUGAGGAGAAGAUGAUGAAUGAAGCUGGUGACUGAAGAUGGGGACUGAAUGGAGGAUUUUUUGUUUAAAAAAGAGGAGAGCUGUAAGGAGGAAGCCUACAGCAGGAGCAGGAAGCUUACAGCAGUAAGGGCAAGCAUCAUCACUGCCUGGGAACAACCACAGUGUUCAAGAAAACAGCAGAUGCCAGUUCAGGAGAAU